rnacentral:rRNA from 1 species
AGUUUGAUCCUGGCUCAGAUUGAACGCUGGCGGCAUGCCUUACACAUGCAAGUCGAACGGUAACAGGUCUUCGGAUGCUGACGAGUGGCGAACGGGUGAGUAAUACAUCGGAACGUGCCCGAUCGUGGGGGAUAACGGAGCGAAAGCUUUGCUAAUACCGCAUACGAUCUACGGAUGAAAGCAGGGGACCGCAAGGCCUUGCGCGGACGGAGCGGCCGAUGGCAGAUUAGGUAGUUGGUGGGAUAAAAGCUUACCAAGCCGACGAUCUGUAGCUGGUCUGAGAGGGCGACCAGCCACACUGGGACUGAGACACGGCCCAGACUCCUACGGGAGGCAGCAGUGGGGAAUUUUGGACAAUGGGCGAAAGCCUGAUCCAGCCAUGCCGCGUGCAGGAUGAAGGCCUUCGGGUUGUAAACUGCUUUUGUACGGAACGAGAAGCCUCUUUCUAAUAAAGAGAGGUCAUGACGGUACCGUAAGAAUAAGCACCGGCUAACUACGUGCCAGCAGCCGCGGUAA